UAAAUUAAAUCAUACCUGCUAUACACUUUCCAAAAUGAUUAUUCUUUUGAAGAUCCUCCAUCAAUGAAUCUAGUUUGAUCUUGAACACUCUUGCGACGAUAUCUGGUCUUUCAUUAGGUCUCUGUCCGCCAUUAUUUCUGAGAAAUUCAAGAAUUUCAUUCCACUUUGGAUUUGAUGUUACCGUGAUGAAAAGAUCAGGGUUUCCCAUAACACGGCAAAGAGCUAUUGCAUCUUGGUAAUUUUGGGUCAUAUAACGUGGUCCGCCAGUGAAAGAGGAAGGUCAUAAGAUCCACAAUGUAAGUUUGUAAUAGUUUCCCCGAUAAGGGUAAUGUAUGUGCCUCAGUCUGACGCUGCUGCAAACGAAAUGAAGCGUACUCUAUGGACUGGUCUCAAAGAACCAAUUCUGUGAUGGUUUUGUCCAUUUAGACGGAAACAAUAAGGCCCACCUCCAUUAUUAUUCCAGAGAAAGGUGGGAGGAUGCGUGAGGAGAGGAAAUUUGACAGAGCCUUUUCGACAGCAUAAUGAGAAAGCUGGAUUUUCAGACCUAGAAGUACACAACAAAUAGCAAUGUUAUACAACAAAUGACAAUAUCAAUGUCAACAGCAUAUGAGGCAAGGAAACAGGUACAAUUAUUUGACAUGAAAAUAAUGUUGUACAUUAUCUUCCAUUUGCACGUGAGAAUCGUCGAAUGAUGAAUCAUAUGAUAUUUGUUCCAUCCUUGUACGCUUGAUAAUAACCGGGGAUGUAUCCUCAAAGGAAGUAGUGCUACAUGUACCAUUAACUCUAUGAACAACUUUCCUCUUAACUCGUCUCUCUUUGUUAUUAUAGGAUCGAAGAGCUGAAAACAGAUGAUGGGUAGUUAGUGUUAAGGAAUAGAAGUUUGUCAAAGUCGUAGUGCCUCAACAAAGUGGGAGUACUUUCUCACUUUGAUUGGUGAAGUCAAUGAUCUGUGAUUCCAACGAAUUCAACUCUGUAGGUAAUAAUUUUAAUAAUUUAAGGUUAUUACAGUAGAUUUCUAUUAACUAUUAAAUUGGGCAUAUGUUUAUAUAAAGACUGUUACCUGUUAUUCUGUCAAUGAGCUUCGGAGAUGAAUGUGAUGUGAAAGAACUAACAUCCAUUGAGCUGCUACUUAUAUUCUCCAUAUAUGCUCUGAAAGAGAUUUCUCCGAAAGUACGAAUUGAAAUAUUCUCCGAAAGAGAUUUUCUGGUAAAUGGUAGCAUACAUUCCAUAUAUGCUCAGAAAGAUGUGUGGUAAGUUACCUUGUUCACUUGCAUAUAUAUACUUAUAUUCUCCAUUUAUGCUCCAAAAGAUGUGCAGUAUACAUUCCACAUAUGCUCAAAAAGUUGUGUUAAAUUGGUGGAUAGAUACCACAAAUAGAAAUAAUAAGAUAUAGAAAACUGAAAAUAUUUUCAGUUUAUAACUAACUUACUUUGAAUCAUGAUACUCUAUAAAUUGUGUACAUGUUAUAUCAGAGUCAAAUUAAUAUUCAAUAAGUUAAUAUGCUAGAAAUAUAUAUACAUGAAUUAAGGAACAAAGAUCUCCAAUAAUGUAAAGACAAAUAUACUGAAAGGAGCAUAGUAUACUUACAGUAUGACUUCAGAGUUGAUUCCAUAAGCGUUUUCCACUUCUAUAAUUGAAACCAAAAAAUGCAUAAUUUAGGUCCAGUACUUGAAAUAAAAUUUAAGCAUGCAACUAAGAGGAAAAUAUACAUUGCUUGAGAAGCUAGUUAAACUAAUGUAUGAUCUUUAUUUGGGUAAAUGGUAAGAAAUAUGAAAUAAAUAUGAUGAAUUAAUGUUGUGAUGAAGUGGGUCAUCAUAAAUGCUUUAAAAAGUGAGUUUGAUAUGAAAAAUGUGAUGUAUAUAGGCAGAAAUGAGUCAUAAAUCAUAAAUGUGGGAAAUACUGACUUAAUC